UAUAUUUUUUCUGUUUGAAAAAUAUUGCUUAAAUCUGUUAAAGAAAAUGUCAACACACCACCUUUGUUCCAACAAUGAAUUAUUAAUUUCAAAGAAUUAUUGAUCUCAACUGGACCCAAUUUUUGGAUAUUUAGGGAAGAGACAGCAUUAAUAUACGUAAGGCUCGUAUGUGUCUGCCCUGUGUAUCUGUCGUAUUAUAAUAUCCAGACAGAAAAGAUUAAACCGAGGAUUAAACAUACAAAAUAUGUAAAUAUUUCUAACAAGAAAGAAAUCGUUUAUGAUUUACACCCACUAAAAUUGAUUAUAUAUAUAUCUAUUACAUUAAAUAUCGUUUAUACUCUGAAUCAAUUAUAAAUACAAAAAAAAAUGUAUUCUUCACAACGGAAAAACCACGGAAAAACCAAUAAAAUCCCCCUCGAAGAGCCCACAAAUGAUCAUGUGAUAACAAAACUAUCCACUGAUUUAAUAGGAAAUACUUGUAUUCAAAUAGUAUAUGAGGAUCCUUGCAGUUUGUAAGUAAUUUUGUACAAAUAUUAGAAAAUGUAGAAAUAAUGAAUUAUUAAGAGCGAAUAAAGAGAUACACUAUUGAAUUCAUAAUAUUUAAAAAGCUGG
rnacentral:lncRNA from 1 species